UAACACGUGAGCAACCUGCCUUUCAGAGGGGGAUAACAGUUGGAAACGACUGCUAAUACCGCAUAACGCUGCGAUGGGGCAUCCCGAUGCAGCCAAAGGAGCAAUCCGCUGGAAGAUGGGCUCGCGGCCGAUUAGCUAGUUGGUGGGGCAACGGCCCACCAAGGCGACGAUCGGUAGCCGGACUGAGAGGGUGAUCGGCCACAUUGGGACUGAGACACGGCCCAGACUCCUACGGGAGGCAGCAG
rnacentral:rRNA from 1 species